AAUCACCUCUCCCCAAUGCUUCUUAGGCCUCCCUCUACCUCGCCGACCACCAAUAAUCACCAACCGCUCGCAGCUCCUCACAGGGGCAUCGGGGCCCCUCCUCCGUACAUGCCCGAACCACCUCAUCCUCGCUUCCCCCAUCUUCUUGUCCACCGGGGCCACCCCUACCUUCUGUCGAAUAACUUCGUUCUUAAUCUUAUCUAGCCUGGU
rnacentral:lncRNA from 1 species